UACGAAGGGGGCUAGCGUUGCUCGGAAUCACUGGGCGUAAAGCGCACGUAGGCGGACUCUUAAGUCGGGUGGUGAAAUCCUGGAGCUCAACUCCAGAACUGCCUUCGAUACUGAGAGUCUUGAGUCCGAUAGAGGUGGGUGGAAUUCCUAGUGUAGAGGUGAAAUUCGUAGAUAUUCGGAAGAACACCAGUGGCGAAGGCGGCUCACUGGACCGGCAUUGACGCUGAGGUGCGAAAAGCGUGGGGGAGCAAACAGGGAUUAGAAACCCC
rnacentral:rRNA from 1 species